rnacentral:rRNA from 1 species
GACGAACGCUGGCGGCGUGCUUAACACAUGCAAGUCGAACGGAAAGGCCCUGCUUUUGUGGGGUGCUCGAGUGGCGAACGGGUGAGUAACACGUGAGUAACCUGCCCUUGACUUUGGGAUAACUUCAGGAAACUGGGGCUAAUACCGGAUAGGAGCUCCUGCUGCAUGGGGGGGGUUGGAAAGUUUCGGCGGUUGGGGAUGGACUCGCGGCUUAUCAGCUUGUUGGUGGGGUAGUGGCUUACCAAGGCUUUGACGGGUAGCCGGCCUGAGAGGGUGACCGGCCACAUUGGGACUGCGGUACGGCCCAGACUCCUACGGGAAGCAGCAGUGGGGAAUAUUGCACAAUGGGCGGAAGCCUGAUGCAGCAACGCCGCGUGCGGGAUGACGGCCUUCGGGUUGUAAACCGCUUUCGCCUGUGACGAAGCGUGAGUGACGGUAAUGGGUAAAGAAGCACCGGCUAACUACGUG